rnacentral:rRNA from 1 species
CAGCGUCACGAGUGGCAAUCAGAUUUAUUGGGUCUAAAGCGUCCGUAGCCGGUUUGAUAAGUCUUUUGUGAAAUUGUCGUGCUUAACAUGACAACGUGCAAGAGAUACUGUCAGACUUGGAACUGGGAGGAGUUAGGGGUAUUCCUUGGGGAGCGGUAAAAUGCUAUAAUCCUCGGAGGACCACCUGUGGCGAAAGCGCCUAACUAGAACAGCUUCGACGGUGAGGGACGAAAGCCAGGGGAGCAAACCGGAUUAGAUACCCGAGUAGUCC